rnacentral:rRNA from 1 species
AUUGAACGCUGGCGGCAUGCCUUACACAUGCAAGUCGAACGGCAGCGGACCUUCGGGUGCCGGCGAGUGGCGAACGGGUGAGUAAUAUAUCGGAACGUACCUUUCAGUGGGGGAUAACGUAGCGAAAGUUACGCUAAUACCGCAUAUUCUGUGAGCAGGAAAGCAGGGGAUCGCAAGACCUUGCGCUGAUUGAGCGGCCGAUAUCAGAUUAGCUAGUUGGUGAGGUAAAGGCUCACCAAGGCGACGAUCUGUAGCGGGUCUGAGAGGAUGAUCCGCCACACUGGAACUGAGACACGGUCCAGACUCCUACGGGAGGCAGCAGUGGGGGAAUUUUGGACAAUGGGCGCAAGCCUGAUCCAGCCAUGCCGCGUGAGUGAGAAGGCCUCGGUUGUAAG